rnacentral:rRNA from 1 species
CCGGCGACCGGCGCACGGGUGAGUAACACGUAUGCAACCUGCCCCUGUCAGGGGGACAACCCGCCGAAAGGCGGGCUAAACCCGCGUACAUGCCACCGGGGCAUCCCGGAGGCAGGAAAGGCUUCGGCCGGACAGGGAUGGGCAUGCGGCGCAUUAGGCAGUAGGCGGGGUAACGGCCCACCUAACCGACGAUGCGUAGGGGUUCUGAGAGGAAGGUCCCCCACACUGGUACUGAGACACGGACCAGACUCCUACGGAAGGCAGCAG